rnacentral:tRNA from 1 species
GUUCUUAUAGUUGAAAUACAACGAUGGUUUUUCAUAUAA